AGCUGUUUCCACCUUGUUGGCAAAGACUUUUAAUGGCUUUCUUUAUCUGACUCCAGAUUUACUCGGAGGAAACAGCAUCCUGCUGCCAAGUAAAGGCCGCUUACACUCCAUGAGUCCCAGGAGGAUCAAAGAGGCCAGCCCUGUCAUCGUCAUGGAGAGGAGCAGGAUGCCACGGCGGCCGCACCUGUCUACGGUCGCCCAGAGCAACAACCAGGCACCGCCCCCUGCGCACACAGACAGCAGUUGACCAAUUUGGCUGUCUGCCAUGUAUAUUACCUGUCAGCGGCAUAGCCCAGGCCGAGACAGCCAGUCAGGACGCCCAGGAUGAAACACACCUCCUCCACUGGAACCAGCCAGUACUGAGCACACACCAGAUCCCACUGGACAGCACAGACACAAGAGGGAGGAUGACAGGCCUGUCAUUCAUUUUACUGUUCAGGUUAGCACAACAAUGUAAAUGUUAGAGAACAGGCAGUCAUCAGGGAGACAUCACCACACAUCAGGACCAACAGGGGAGAUGGAGAGGGUGACAGAAAACAUGAAUGAAAUCAGAAUGUUUCAGAAAGUAUAACCACCAAUUGUUUUGACUUAUUUUUAAAUGAAUGAAGUGAUGUAACCUCAUUUUUCGUUUCAUUUUCUGUCAAUCAGCCCUACAACCUUAAUAAAUAGCCCUCAUCACAAACAC